rnacentral:lncRNA from 1 species
GGGUUGCAGCCAGGAACCCUAAACAUCCUGUGGUAGGAGGGGCAGUUCUGCAGUGAAGAAGGAAUUUCUUUUGAGUGAGCGGGGAAGCAAAAGCCAUUGUUAUGAGCAGAUAAAUGCUAUGAUCCAACUGCACUUUUAAAAGGCGCUGGGCGUGGUGGCCCAUAUCUGUAAUCCCAGCACUGUGGGAAGCUGAGGACAGAAACAAGCAAGGUGGAAAUCUUGGGCUCGAGAGAUGGGGAGUAGAGGAGCUAAGAGCCCAGCGUUCUUGAACCUGCCUCUCCCAUCCGAUGGCAGUCACCUGGGCUCCUAGCAUGGGGCAUUGCCACUCACUUGCUGACACCCUUGUCCACUGAUGCGACCUCCAUCCUGGCACCAGUCUCACCAUGUCAUCUCUGCUGCUGAGCCUUCCUCUUGAAGACUUCAGCAAUUCCUCAGCCCUCUGGUUUCCCUCUCUCCCCAAUCUUUAAAUGUCUGAUUCCACAGGA